rnacentral:rRNA from 1 species
UUGAACGCUGGCGGCAUGCCUUACACAUGCAAGUCGAACGGUAGAGGAGCAAUCCUCGAGAGUGGCGAACGGGUGAGUAAUGUAUCGGAACGUGCCCAGUAGUGGGGGAUAGCCCGGCGAAAGCCGGAUUAAUACCGCAUGAUACCUGAGGGUGAAAGCGGGGGACUCGCAAGAGCCUCGCGCUACUGGAGCGGCCGAUAUCAGAUUAGGUAGUUGGUGGGGUAAAAGCCUACCAAGCCUGCGAUCUGUAGCUGGUCUGAGAGGACGACCAGCCACACUGGGACUGAGACACGGCCCAGACUCCUACGGGAGGCAGCAGUGGGGAAUUUUGGACAAUGGGCGCAAGCCUGAUCCAGCCAUACCGCGUGAGUGAAGAAGGCCUUCGGGUUGUAAAGCUCUUUCAGCCGGAAAGAAAUUGCUUCUAUUAAUACUAGGAGUAGAUGACGGUACCGGAAGAAGAAGCACCGGCUAACUACGU